rnacentral:rRNA from 1 species
AGGGUUUGAUCAUGGCUCAGAACGAACGCUGGCGGCAUGCCUAACACAUGCAAGUCGAACGCUAUCUUGUAUAGAGUGGCGCACGGGUGAGUAACGCGUGGGAACCUGCCUUUCUCUGCGGGACAACGGUUGGAAACGACCGCUAAUACCGCAUACGCCCUACGGGGGAAAGGUCAGCCGGAGAAAGAGGGGCCCGCGUUAGAUUAGCUAGUUGGUGGGGUAAUUGCCUACCAAGGCGACGAUCUAUAGCUGGUCUGAGAGGAUGAUCAGCCACACUGGGACUGAGACACGGCCCAGACUCCUACGGGAGGCAGCAGUGGGGAAUAUUGGACAAUGGGGGCAACCCUGAUCCAGCAAUGCCGCGUGUGUGAUGAAGGCCCUAGGGUUGUAAAGCACUUUCACUGGUGAAGAUGAUGACGGUAACCAGAGAAGAAGCCCCGGCUAACUUCGUGCCAGCAGCCGCGGUAAUACGAAGGGGGCGAGCGUUGUUCGGAAUUACUGGGCGUAAAGGGCGUGCAGGCGGAUUGGUAAGCCGGAGGUGAAAGCCCGGGGCUCAACCCCGGAGGGUCUUUCGGAACUGCCAGUCUUGAGAGGGUCAGGGGCCAGCGGAAUUCCUGGUGUAGAGGUGAAAUUCGUAGAGAUCAGGAGGAACACCGGCGGCGAAAGCGGCUGGCUGGGGCCACUCUGACGCUGAGGCGCGAAAGCAUGGGUAGCGAAGAGGAUUAGAUACCCUCGUAGUCCAUGCCGUAAACGAUGUGUGUUAGACGUUGGAAAUUUAUUUUCAGUGUCGCAGCGAAAGCAUUAAACACACCGCCUGGGGAGUACGACCGCAAGGUUAAAACUCAAAUGAAUUGACGGGGACCCGCACAAGUAGUGGAGCAUGUGGUUUAAUUCGAAGAUACGCGCAGAACCUUACCAACACUUGACAUGUUUGUCGCGACUCUAAGAGAUUAGAGUCUUCGGUUCGGCCGGACAAAACACAGGUGCUGCAUGGCUGUCGUCAGCUCGUGUCGUGAGAUGUUGGGUUAAGUCCCGCAACGAGCGCAACCCUCACUUUUAGUUGCCAUCAUUAAGUUGGGCACUCUGAAAGAACUGCCAGUGAUAAGCUGGAGGAAGGUGGGGAUGACGUCAAGUCCUCAUGGCCCUUACGUGUUGGGCUACACACGUGCUACAAUGGCAUUUACAAUAGGAAGCAAGAUGGCGACAUCAAGCAAAUCCUAAAAAGAUGCCUCAGUUCGGAUUGUACUCUGCAACUCGAGUACAUGAAGCUGGAAUUACUAGUAAUCGCGGAUCAGCGCGCCGCGGUGAAUACGUUCCCGGGUCUUGUACACACCGCCCGUCACACCAUGGGAGUUGGUUCUACCUUAAGGCAAGGUUUUAAACCCUUGACUACGGUAUAGUCAGCGACUGGGGUGAAGUCGUAACAAGGUAACCGUA